UUUAAUACUGUGGUCUACAUGCAUCCUAUGAGACAUAAAAUCGACAAACUGCUUCUGAGCUGCAAGUUUCCUAGGAGAGCCUUCUGGUGCUUUACUGAACUGGUACGAGAACAACGGAAACAAAAAGAGAUAAAACAAGAGAGAAUAA